GACAGAGGGUGCAAACGUUGUUCGGAAUUAUUGGGCGUAAAGCGCGCGUAGGCGGCUACUUAAGUCGGAUGUGAAAGCCCUUGGCUCAACUGAGGAAGUGCACCCGAAACUGAGUGGCUUGAGUACUAAAGAGGGUCGCGGAAUUCCCGGUGUAGAGGUGAAAUUCGUAGAUAUCGGGAGGAACACCGGUGGCGAAGGCGGCGACCUGGGUAGAUACUGACGCUGAGGUGCGAAAGCGUGGGGAGCAAACAGG
rnacentral:rRNA from 1 species